UACGAAGGGUGCAAGCGUUACUCGGAAUUACUGGGCGUAAAGCGUGCGUAGGUGGUUUGUUAAGUCUGAUGUGAAAGCCCUGGGCUCAACCUGGGAAUUGCAUUGGAUACUGGCAGGCUAGAGUGCGGUAGAGGGUAGUGGAAUUCCCGGUGUAGCAGUGAAAUGCGUAGAGAUCGGAAGGAACAUCCGUGGCGAAGGCGACUACCUGGACCAGCACUGACACUGAGGCACGAAAGCGUGGGGAGCAAACAGG
rnacentral:rRNA from 1 species